UGUCAGUGUCUGUGGGUCCUGGGCUAUGGGGGAGCUGGCUCCUUCCUGUGACCCCCACUGGCCUUUCCUUUGUCCUUGCCCCUUCUCCUUGCCUCUCUGUCCCUCCCCUGUUGGAGGCCCCGAGCCUGAUUUGGGUCUCUCUCCCCUUCUUUGUCCUCAGGGAGACCCAGGAGCAGCCAGGCCGGGAGCACCUGCACCUCCCGGAGUUCCCUCUUGUUCUCCUACACAGGGAAGCCCCAGUGCCUACUGUGGCUGUCUUCCCUUUGCUGACCUCUCGGCUGUGACCCAGCCCAGGACUCCUGGCUCUCUGGGAUUCCCACAUUCAGUAUUGACCUGACCCACCCCCCACACUGGGAAAUGGUGGUGGUCAUCCUUCCUCCCAGGCUGGGGCCAGAGUGAGUGAGGUUAUGGCUGCGAAGCUCCCAGCAGUGGACGAGCCCAUAGGCGAGUCCUCAGGGCAGACAGAGACUGUGCUGGGGUCUCCCCCGCGAUCCAGGACACCAGGACCUGCAGGAGCCCCCGCUGUGUGUUGCAGUGGAUUCAUUUCUGGGAGGGAGAGCGCAGUGGGGGCAAGAGGCGCAGAGUCACCACAGACUCCAAGAGUCUGGUGAAAGCAGGCCUGAGGCAGGCAACCUGCAGACUCGUUUAUUUCAGGUGCUACAACAGCUUAUAUAGCCAAGGCAGCCAAUCCAGUCAAGGGGAGGUCUAUGCCCUAACCAAUCACAGCCUGUUGCCAGGCAGUUUCUGAAGCCAUCCAAUCACAGCCUGUUGCCAGGCGGACUCCACUGUCAUGUGGUUUUUGAAACCAUCCAAUCACAGCCUGUUGCCCGCGGCCAUCUUGGCCUGGCCUUCUCAGUCCACCACACCUGCAGGCUCUGUAGGAGAGGUUUCGCCACCAGGUUGCACACUGUGGCCUGUGGGCUGGGCCAGGUCAGUUGUGUUUGCUGUGGGUUUUGUGUACAAAGUUUGUGGUGCUGACAAUCUGUCUCCUCUGUCUCCCUCUCUCUGUCCUCUCCAUCUAUUUGCCUUUGAAUAAGUAGUAAAUCCUUUUAAAACAAAAAGUGGAGCAGCUGGGACAUGUACAGACACUGGUACGGGACGCAGGCCCCGUGAGCCAUGGCUUUACAGCUCCGUCACAGCACCGCUGACUUGAGUGACAGAACAUUUGAUGUAGCGUCGCGAUGCCAGUGACGCUGCACCAUGGUUUGAGGCGAUCAUUCAGGGGGUGAAGAGAAAGGAGUGGAUACACUGAGUCUGCAAAAGGCAAAAUUAUGAAAGAUGCUAAGACUAGAAAUGAAAGGCUUCAAAAUAUCCUGUAGGGUGUAAUUUCAAAACAUUAAUAUCACACUCUUCAACCUAAGAAAGAAUGUCUCUUUCUUUUUUUUAAAGUGGAAAGGUUCCUGUGUAAACCAGCAGAGGGCAGCACCUGCUGCGGUUUCCUGCUCUGACAUCAGAAGGCACCAUUGUGACGUCAUGCCCGCUGCCUGCACAAAGCCUUGGCUGGGCCUGGGUUCUGUCAUUGGCCCAGGAAGUGCUGUCCCGGUGACCUGGGGCUGGGAACAGCUGCCUGUGUUUCCCUUGUUUUGUUUUUGUUCUUCAAGCUGCUGUUGUUUUAGUCAAAUUUGUUUUUUCUUUUUCCAUUUUGAUUAUUUUGUUCUUUUUUCUAUUUUGUUUAUUUUUUUCCUCCAGCAUUUAUAGUCUUUUUCCCUUUCUUAUUGAUUUUCCUUGGAUAUUUCAUUUCCAUUUGGAUUUUUUCUUCAUUUUUUCCAUUGGCUUUCCUCCCAGAGUUUGUGAUUGUUCUUUAUAUUUUCUUUAUAUUUUUUCCCAUUUUUGGGUUUCCGGUUUUUCACUUUGAGUUUUUUUCUCUAUUCCCCCCCAUUUUUAAAAUAAGACUGUGAGGCCAUCUGCUUUGGUCAUUAUACAGUUCAGGUUAUUUGGAUUUUUUCUUUAUGCUUUAUUAUUCAUUUAUUUUUGUUUUCUUAUUUUUAACUGUUUUGAUAGGGUUAGUCUCAGUUGUUAGUCUAGUUGAGUUCAUUUAGUUCCUGUUUUCUGUUGGUGAUGUGAGCUGAGUUCAUUUUGUGUUCUGAUUUCUGUUCAUUUAAUUUCUGUUUGUUUCAUGUUCGUGUGUUCUCAAGUAGUCAAAGCCGUGAGAGCUGAUCUGUGUCAGCUGCUGGCUCAGGGUCUCCCAGACGUCAGCCCUGCUGACCCUUCCUGGGGGAGCCCUGGAGAGGGAGAGGAAUCCGGAGGAAGAAUCGGAUCCUGCUGCUGCUGUUUGAACAGUCUCCGUGGUUGGUGUGAUGUAGUGGAUACAGUUCAUGUUUUCUGUUGGUGACGGGAGCAGAGUGAGUUUGUUCAUUUUUGUGUUGUGAUUUCUGUUCAUUUGAUUUCUGUUGUUGCAUUUUCAUUUGUGCACCACUCGUCUCCCUUCCUGGGAGCCCCGGGAGAGGGAGCAGAAUCCCGAGGCCAGAAUCGCAUCCUGGAUGGGGACUUCCCGGGGCGGGACUGACUGCGGUCCCCCAAGCCCUCUGUGUCCCCAGUGGCUCCCGCGUCCCUCAGCAGAGCGGGGCAGGAGGUGUCCAUGGCGGCUCCUGGGACCAAGGUAACUACUGCCCAGUAAGGGCGGCUCUACAAGGUUUAAGACCCAAAGAAGCCCAGAAACUCGAUCUGCACCAGCAAGAAGACUUCCUGUGGAAGGACCUCUUGAAGGGGAAUACGACUCCAGGACUUCCAUCUUGAGAAUCCUUCCAUCUGUGCUCUCCUGCGUAGAAUGUCCCUCAUCCUCGCUGCCCCAAGGACAGGACCAUGUAGCUUCUCUGGCUGCCCCCAGGUCACCACGAUCCUCCACAGCAAGAUGGACUGCAAGAUGCCCAGCUUAGAAUCCUCGCCCUUCCAGAAGAGGUGUUAAAUGUCCCUCGUCCUCGCUGCCACCAGGACAGGACCCCGUGGCUUCUCUGGCUCCCCACAGUCACCACCAUCGUCCUAAGGAAAAUGAACUCGGACACGCCCAGCCUCAGAAUCCUCGCCCUCCCAGAAGAGGUGUUGAAUGUCCCUCGUCCUCGCUGCCCCAAGGACAGGACCCUGUGGCUCCUCUGUCCCCGGGGAGCAGCUGCUGCCUGGGAAGAACCUCGUUGCCUCUGUUGGUGCCCAUGGAUUGCCCUGCACUACUGCCUCUGUGCCUACAUGUUAACAGAUUUUUAAGUUUAAAAGAAAUCCAUUAGGUCAAUAAAUAGUGGCUGGAGAAACAUGAA